rnacentral:rRNA from 1 species
AUUGCACGCUGGCGGCAGGCCUAACACAUGCAAGUCGAACGAGUGGCGGACGGGUGAGUAAUGUCUGUGAAACUGCCUGAUGGCGGGGGAUAACUACUGGAAACGGUAGCUAAUACCGCAUACCAUCAGAUGUGCCCAGAUGUGAUUAGCUAGUAGGUGGGGUAACGGCUCACCAAGUCGACGAUCCCUACCUGGUCUGAGAGGAUGACCAGCAACACUGUAACUGAGACACGGUCCAGACGCCGACGGGAGGAAGCAGUGGGGAAUAUGGCACAAGGGGCGCAAGCCUGAUGCAGCCAUGCCGCGUGUAUGAAGAAGGCCUUAGGGUUGUAAAGUACUUUCAGCGGGGAGGCGUUACCCGCAGAAGAAGCACCGGCUAACUCCGUGCCAGCAGCCGCGGUAAUUC